GUGGGUAUAAUUUAACAGGUAGAAUAUUAGGUUGUGGUUCUAAAAGUAUGGGUUCAAGUCCCAUUUCUCACC
rnacentral:tRNA from 1 species